UUGAGGGGAGAUGGAACCCUGAGCAGCCCAUGUACAUGGAAGAUCUUUAUUGCAGAGAUCUUCAAACCAGGAAACUGAGGCUAAAGAGUUUAGUAUUCUGCCAAGGCCAGCUAAUAGUUACAGAGCAUGGUUCCAAAUUCAGAGCUGUCGGAAGCUUAAGCCCAUGUGAUGAACCACGAAUGUGAUUUUACCUCAUUUAAGCCUUGCAGCAAACUCUGCCAAGCUGUCUCUACCAGGCCAGAAUUUGGGGCAGGCAAGAUUUUCAGCAUCCCUAAAAUCACACUAAGAAGAUAAACAUGGAAACAGCUUGGAGCUGCCCUACCCAUAGUGAGGUGGUACUGACUGGAAGACAGCUUAAACGAUUUGGAGAAAAGUGGAAUACAUUAAUCUCAGAAAACUCUACCACCUGUAGAAAGAGAGCUAAAAUGGAGACAACCACAGGCAGUCUAAGAUACGCUGAACUACUACAGAAAAUAAUGCAGCAUGAAGGAAUGCUGGAAGGAUCUUCUAAGGGUGUGAGGAUACAGGCGUCAAAGACCCCGUGCUGAGACAGCUCCAUAACAACAUGCAGAUAUUUGGCAAUGAGGGUUCAGAAGAGGACUUGCUGUGGAGAAGAGAGAAAAGAGAUGGGAAGACUCUGUGAAUGAAUAGAGAACACUCUGCAAGCAUCCCAGUUCCUUUGGUUGCCCUGCAGUCUGCAGGUACCAGGAGAAAUCAAAAGCCGCCUGGAAGGGCUUUCUGUCUGUAUGGAGUCAAGGCAGUGUCUUCAAAUCUGUGCUUUCUAAAACAAAGAAAUAACCUUGAUGAAACAAAUUUUCCCCAGAGGAAGGGGAGAGCCCACAGUGAGCUGGUAAAGAAGAUGCCUGGAGCAGGCAGCAUCCUCAAAUGGAAGAGAUGGUGUCUUGCUAUGUUGCCCAAGCUGGUCUUAAAUUCCUGGCAUCAAGUGAUCCUCCUGCCUCAGCCUCCCAAAGUACUGGGAUUACAGAACAAAACAAUCAGCAGGCGGGUCUGCGGCAUUCUAAGAACAGACACUGGCAGGAACAAAGGUUACAGAAGUGAAUGACUCUAAGAAUCAAGCAAGACAUGGAGUGGCAGAAAAUUAAAUUCUGAAUCCCUAAAAGACAUGAUGCAAAGAUGACCUCCUCUCCCAAGGACAUGUCCUCAUCCUGCGCUGACCGUGUGUGGUCAUUUCAGAAAAAGCGAACAAUGGAGAACCUGCUUGAAUGAUACUUAGACCUGGGACAACUGAAAGGAGUUGCACUUAUACAAUUCGGUGCAGUGGAGUCCCCUGGGAGGAGCCCCAGUCACACGGGAAGAGACAGUCACAGCUGUAAUAAAUGAUGGCUAGCAUGU
rnacentral:lncRNA from 1 species